rnacentral:tRNA from 1 species
UUUAAGAUAAGCUAAAAAAGCUAAUGGGUUCAUACCUCAUUGAUGGUAACUUAUAAUA